GAAAAGGCUCUUUUCAGAGCCACUUACAAUUUCACUUAAAAACAGU
rfam:Gorilla gorilla gorilla genomic chromosome, chr6, whole genome shotgun sequence